GUGGGGAACUGUCAAGAAGUUCCACUCUGGUUUCAGAGCAUACCAGAAUGCUAGGAAAUCCGAUAUUUCUGUUUCCAGAAGCGCAUUGAUGGCCAGGAUCACCACAAAGAUUUCUUUCGAAAGAAACACAGAUUCCUCAGAGCCAGAGUCUGGUGAAGUACGAACUCAAGUGGUGAGGAGAAAGCUCCAAAAUGAUGCUGGCAUAGAUUGGAAAUGGAUAGUCAUUGGUGGGACAGUGGCUGUAGUCUGUGGACUUCGAACAGGUGCAAUUGGGAAAGCCUUGUUACUUGGGGCAGGACAGAGA
rnacentral:misc_RNA from 1 species